UUGCCCUGGAGCGGAGUGUUGGUGGACUUCAAGGUGUCAGAUGCUUAAUUGUCUCUCUCCCCUUCUCUCUCUCUCUCUCUCUCUCUCUCUCUCUCUCUCUCUCUCUUUUCCUUCCAGGUGAUAGAGGCUAUUACUAGUGAGUGAUACCGAAGUGCCUUCAAGGGCAGGUUAAAUGCUACCAGGGUGGAAAGGUCCCCAUCUAGCCUGAGAGCAACGCUGACAGUGUGUGCAUGCUGUGCCAAGUAUGGAAUCAAAAAUGGCUCGAGUGGACAUGGAUGGCUUGCGGCGCAGCCCUGGCAGUGCAGUGCAUAUCGCUCUGGCCAUUUGCCAAGACAAGACGCUGGAUCUGGUGUGCUGGUGCCCGUGUAUGCAUCGGUGACCCCGAGUAAAAUGGUGGGAACCUCCUUCAGCCCUG